GUGAGGGCUGUUCUCCGGGCGGGGGAAGAAGCCGUCGCUGAGGCGAUGUGGGGAACGUGGUGUGGGGACAUUUCCCGGGGGAUUAGUGUGGGGACAGUGUGGUGGUCCCUGAGGGUGUGUGGAGUGUGGAUCAGGUUGAAGAGGGAGCCGCUGCUGGGGAGUUGUGGAUGGGACAGGAAGGGUUCAGCUGCUGCUCAGCGCUGCUGUGGAGGGGCAGGUGAGUUCUUGUCCACAGGUGUGGGAGCACCAGGGAUGUCAGGGCAGGAAUUUUAGGGAGAGGACACUCGGCAUGGGACAGACACAGCUGUUCCUCCAAGUGACAUGUCUUGCAGGGUAGUGCAGUAACAUCUGUUCCUAGUCUGGUGUCCCUUGCCUGGAUCCUAGCAGCACAGAGUGAAUUUUAGAGAGAUUAUUUGCUUUUCCACCAUCUUGCAUACCUAGAUAGAUGCAUAGAUGCUACAUUACUGGGAAGUAGCUAAUGACCUUUCUUUGGCAGUGGCAGGGGGGUAGUUUCACAGGGUGAAUCAGCAGGAAAAGAAUUCCAGAGUCCUUCCACUGUGUUUCAGAGCUUUAGGACAUGAUCCUCAGGCAGUCCUGAUUAAUUUAAAGUUAUGAUUGAUGUUUAUUUGUUUUCUUAAUCAGGCCUGAAUGAAGUCUACAACACCUUCAUGUCAUUCUGCAUUUUUCACAUCACCACAGGCAGCAGUAGUAUCUGUAUAAAUAUCUUAGACAUGUGCAGGAAAGCUCUUCGUCAUUAAAUAUGUAACAUUUGAGCAGAAAUCCAGAUACAGCCCUCAUGUAACAGUCAUACUAUUAACUUUCUGAAUUGUUGGGAUGUACCUAUCCUGUACAUAAUUGUAGGAUUGUCAGGAAGUAAAACAUCAAAGAGAGUGGGGUUUGACAGUGUUGGGUGCUUUGGUAGAAGCCUUGCAAGAGCCAUAAGCUUUGUUGUCUAACAGCUGGUGGGCCUGACAGGCAAGUUUCCCCAGAAUUGACUCAGAAGUGAUUCAGAGGUUAAAUGUAACACACUUGUUUAUAGUGUAUAAUAAUUGUCACAGACUGAACUGAUUAAUGACCUGUCCUAAUCUAAUCUUUCUCCUUGGAAUUAAAAGUAAAUGUGUGGACAUUUAACUAUUUUAAAAUUGCUUUUAUCAUGUGUUUUGUUCUUACACUUGUAGGGGAUUUUUAACCCCUCACUCACUGAGGGAUAAAACACACUCCCCUCAGGUACUGAGCUGUGUUAGGCUGUGCAGGUGAGCCAGGUCAAACGGGGGCUGUUCUCCUGUUCUUUUUCAUACCACAACUGUUCUUUUAGAAAAUGAGACAAUGGAGGUCUUGGAGCUUCAGAACUUUUGUUCAGGGAGUGCAGGAAAGAGUGAGAAAAGCCUGAAGUUGAAUGGGGCUUGGAGCAACCUGGUCUAGUGGAAGGUGUCCCUGCCCAGGGAAGGGGGUGGAAUGAGAUGAGCUUUAAAGUCCCUUCCAACUCAAAUCAUCCUGUGAUUCUGUGUAACUUCUGUGAUCAGAUCAGUAACACCCCAAAAAAUGUUGCAGAUCUAGAGAGGCAACCUGUGAAACUCAGAGAUCAGCAAUCUGAAUGUGAAAGAAGCAAGUGGUGAAUGAUGACUGGGUAUCAUGAGGGAAGGGGACAUAAGGCAGCAAAAGAAAUCUGGGAAAAGUAUCUGCAAAAAUAGAAGCUUUGGUCAGCACUGUGGAAUUCCUGGUAUGAGAAGGCAGAGAGUCAGGGUAGAGAGGAGAUCCUUGCUGAGCUGCUGUGACCAUGAAGGCAGUGAUUUUAAUCGUCCUAAUCAUCUUCUCUUCGCUCUCUUCAGGGAAGAAAUUCCGCUGGUGCACCCUGUCUGACCUGGAGCAGAGGAAGUGUGCCGAGCUGUCCAAGGCGCUCACGGCCGUGCUGCCCCUCGCCACUGCCACUGCCUUUGCCAGGAUUUCUUGCAUCAGAGCCCACAAUACCUAUGACUGCAUUGAUAAAAUCAGGGCAAAUAAAGCAGAUGCUGCUUCCUUGGAUGCUGGAGAUGUUUACUCUGCUGUAAAACUUUAUGGUUUGGCAGUGGUGGCAAAGGAGAUCUAUGAUCAAGGAAAUUGUGUGUUUGCUGUGGCCGUUGCCAAACGAGGAGCUCUGGAUAUCCAGAGGCUGCGAGGUGUGCGCAGCUGCCACAAUGGAGCCAGGUGGACAUCGGGCUGGAAUAUUCCAUUUGGCUUCCUCCUUGCAAGAAAUGACCUUUCCUGGGAUGAGGCACAACCUCUGAGCCAAGCAAUCAGUGAGUAUUUCAAUGCAAGCUGCAUCCCUGGGGUUGGUGUUGCUGCUCCUCGACUGUGUACUCUCUGCCAAGGACAAAAAUCCUAUGUCAGAGACAAGAACCACUUCUGUGAGACAAGCAGCAAUGAACCCUUCUAUGACUCUGAGGGAGCCUUCAGGUGCUUGAAGGAGGGAGUGGCAGAUGUUGCCUUUUUAGAUCAUCUAAGAAUUCUGAGUGCCACAGAGUCAGAAGAACAGGAAUAUGAACUGCUGUGUCCUGAUGGGAGCACAGCUGAGCUGAGCCAGUACAGCACCUGUAACCUGGGCAAGGGGCCCGGCCGGGGCAUCGUCACCCGCAACAACUUCCACAAGAUCACCAACAAAUUCCUCAGCAUGAUCCAACGCCUCUUUGGGCGAAAAGGGAAGGAAAGAGCCAGAUUUGAACUCUUCACUUCAGCUCCCUUUGGGGGAAAGAACCUGCUGUUCCGAGAUGCCACUCAGCACCUGCAGCUUCUCGAGGAGCAGCUGGAGAUUGCCUAUGUCCUUGGUCUGGAUUAUGUAGCUCUCCUUAAGGGACUGGGCCACGAAGGGAGCUCUCUGGAGAACAGUGUCGUGCGCUGGUGCUGCAUCAGCGAUGCUGAGCUUCACAAGUGUGAGGAGUGGGCACUGAGCAUCAAAUCCGACCCCUUAGUCUGUGUCCAAGCAACUUCCAUGACCAAAUGCAUCGAAAUGAUCAAGAGCAGUGAGGCAGACGCGGUGACCCUGGACGCCACACACGUCUACAUCGCAGGGAGGUGUGGGCUGGUGCCUGUAGCUGCAGAGUGUUAUGGGGGAGAUUGUGCCCAAGCUGCUGAGAUCAUGGAGAAAACAGGAAAACUAAUUCAUGUUAAGCACAAAGCACUGCCACCUGUUUAUGCUGUUGCCUUGGCUAAGAAAAGUGCCAAACAGAUUAACAUCCAUAACCUCAAAGGAAGGAGGUCCUGCCACAGUCACCUGUACAGUCCUGCAGGGUGGUUACUGCUGUCCAGACACACAGUGGGAGCUCUGGGGAAUGAUACCCAGAACUGUGACAUUGGCUCUGCUUAUCAGAAUUACUUCUGGAAGGGCUGCAUGCCGGGAGCAGAUGGCAACAUGUGCAAGGUGUGCAUUGGGGACAGUGAGGUGGAGGGGGCCCGAGUCUCCAGCAGAUGUGCUGCAGGUCACAAUGAACAGUACUAUGGCAACAUGGGAGCACUCAGGUGCCUAGUUGGCAAUCCCAGUGGAAGAAGCUUUGGAGAUGUAGCUUUCCUGGAACACUCUAACCUGCUCCAGAACAUAGAAGAUCUGGACAGCUCUGGUUGGGCAAAAGGUUCCACUGCCCUUGACUUUGAGCUGCUGUGCCCGGACGGGACCCGCGCGGCUGUCACGGAGUGGCCGGGGUGUCACCUGGGCCCCAUCCCCCCCAGCACUGUCAUGACUCGCCCAGUCACUGUCACUAAGAUCUAUGACUUCCUGCUGCAAUCCCAGGAAUCUCUGGGAAGCAAAUUGGAUUCUGAAUUCCAGCUCUUUCAGUCGUGGAGGUUCGGUGGAAGUGAUCUGCUUUUCAAAGAUGCUACUCAGUACCUCGUUCCUGCAAGUCACCUGAGCUAUCAGGAAAUCCUUGGAGAUUCUUUCUUCCAGCUGGCAGAAUCAGUGUUUAAUUGCACACCUGCAGGCAUCCUGGACUUCUGCAAACAGGAUAUCUGUGCAUCCUCAUCCAACUGACAGUGAUACAGAGGCUGUCCAAGGCACAUCACCACAUCACCAUCAUUAUUGAAAACCAGGAAAUGUACAAGUCCAGCCCAUCCAAAGCAGUCAGCAAGGAAACAAGCAUCUCUAGAAAUGUAUGCUGAAUACCUUCUUGUCUUUUUUUUUAAAGCAGGUUUGAUGUUUAUGAUAAUGUCAAACUACUCCUUUCCUGUUUGGAGCAGGGCAGCACAGGGAACAGCACAGAAGUAGGAUCAGCAAUUCUCUACAACUACUCUGGAGAAAUCAGCAUUUUUGUGGAAAUAGCAGGGCCAAUACCAUGGACUAAAAUACAGACUGGCAUCAGUAGCACAGUUUAACAUCCUCAUGGGCUUUUCCUCUGGAGAAGAGGUUGGCAUCAGCCAAAUAAACUUAAAAUACAGCUCUUAUAUCUGCCAUCCCUGCACUGAAAAAGAACAGAAGGAAGUUUCAGCACCAAAUGUCCAGUUGCUCAGGCAGGAAGGACAUAGAUCAAGUCUCCAAGCUGCAGCAAUUCUUCAGGAAGGGAUUCUGCUGGCCCUCGAGAAACCACCUCGAGCACAUCACCCAGAUCCUCUGC